UAGUCUAAAUAUAGAAGCUCAGAAGUUCACUCCGAACAGUCUAACACACACAAUUCACUGGGUCAUCAGUGCCACUCGAAGUUAUGCUUGGUGUCACAUGAAAGCAUUUCAUCUCAGUAGUAUAUCUGAACCAGCUACACGGAAAAAGCCACCUACAUUUUCUGCAUGUGUGUAACUGCUACCGGGAGUUAAAGCAGCAUCUAAAAUAUUAGCUGCAGUUCCACAUUUUGUCAUCUGGAGAUUUAUCUCAUACUUCCACGCAGCAACGGAUGGGCAUGAUAUGAAAAUAAAAUAAACCUAAAGAGGAACAAGCCAAAACCAAGACACUGACUCAGAAAUCUGCCAUUCAAUUCUUGAAGGAGAGCUCUUCUCCGUUAAGAAAACGUGUUGGGUUCUGUCUGCUGAUAAUUCAAAACGCAAACUAUGAAGAUGAGCCAAAACCUCGAUCCAAGAGAGUGUGGACAGAUGAG